rnacentral:misc_RNA from 1 species
GUGGCGUGUUCCCAAACCCCACGUAGCGAUUCCCCUGGGCCCCUUGAUAGGAGCCGAGGUCAUCAUUCAGCCAGUCUUCAAAAGCCUUGUCCGAGGAGGCGGUCACACUCUGCGGCUGGCCAGAGACUCGGUGCACCAUGGACGGCAGCGUCCUGGGCUGAGGUGGGGUCCAGUUCUGGGCAGGUGAUGACUCCAGAGACCACUCUCUGCCUUCGGCCAGAGCGAC